ACUCGUCCUUGAGAUAUCCUGAAGUCAACACAUGCAGUCAAUUGCUUUGCCACUUUGAUUUCCUCAGUUUGCAUAGCAAGCGGAUGAUACACUCCUACAGAGAACGGUCACCUAAUUAAAUUGUGUGUGGUUAAUUUGGAACAUACUAAUGCAGAGAGAAAAAUAAGUUAACUUUACAUGGGAGUCAAGGAGUAUAACUCAUCCAUGAAAUAUCCUGAAGUCAACAGCUGUUGUACAAUGCUUUCCCAUCACUUUGAUUUCCUCAGUUUGCAUAGCAAGAGGAGGAUGCAUUCCUACAAAGAACAGUCACCUAACUUAACUUUUGUGUUGCUCAAGUUUGGUACGAAAUGAACUGCUAAGGCUAUCUUUGGUACGAUUCUCAAGUAACCGUAUCGACCCGGAAAAGCUUUUGAAAUUUUAGAUGUGUUGAAGCAUAGAAGCUCGAUAACAAAUUAGAGAUUACAAUGCGGAAGCAUUAGUCAUUAUGUGCAUUAAGACAGACCUUGAUGCCUCCAAACUUCUGCAACAUUAAGAAGACGUCUUUGCCUCUGUUUGAGUAGAAAUAUGGUCCAUUAGUUUGCCGAAAAGGAAAGAUAAUAAACAAGAUACAUUUGAAGCUUGAACAACAGAUUUACACUAUGAAGAAAGCAAAAAAAAAUCUUCCUACUAACAUCAUUGGGAAGACAUGAACAUCUACAUUAGGUUUCGCAUGGCAUUAAAUUAAACAAAGGUAACCAGUUAAAUUCC
rnacentral:lncRNA from 1 species